rnacentral:rRNA from 1 species
CAUGAAGCUGGAAUCGCUAGUAAUCGCGGAUCAGAAUGCCGCGGUGAAUACGUUCCCGGGUCUUGUACACACCGCCCGUCACACCAUGGGAGUCGGAAAUGCCCGAAGCCGGUGACCAAACCAAUAAGGAAGGAGCCGUCGAAGGCAGGUCUGAUAACUGGGGUGAAGUCGUAACAAGGUAUC